GCAGCGCGUCCAAAUUAUAAAAUUUUAUUAUCAAAAUAAAUGUUCGGUAGUUCAAACUUUGCGCUCGUUACGUCCAUUUUUUGGCCGACGUAGUGGUCCUUCAAAGUCGACUCUCCAACGUUUGGUGUCGAAAUUUGAGACAACUGGUACGGUAAACGAUCAGUUAACAUCCCCCUACAUCAAAGAUCGGUCCAGAAUAUCGCCGCGGUACGUGAAAGUGUGCAGGAGAACCCGAGGCAGUCAAUUCCUCGCCGUGCACAAGAACUCGGUCUUUCACAGUCUUCAACUUGGCGAAUUUUGCGCCGGGACUCGGGCUUACACCCGUAUAAGAUCCAACUGACCCAGGAGCUCAAAAUUAAUGACCAUAGACAACGCCGAUUGUUUGCUGACUGGGUUUCGGAGCGUUUGGAAGAGGACCCUAAUUUUGGCCGAAAAAUCGUCUUUAGUGACGAAGCGCAUUUUUGGAUGAAUGGCUAUGUUAACAAGCAAAAUUGCCGUAUUUGGGACAAUACCAACCCACACGAGGUUCAACAGGUAACAAUGCAUCCACAAAANUUUU